GGCGAGUGGCGAACGGGUGAGUAAUACAUCGGAACGUGUCCUGGAGUGGGGGAUAGCCCGGCGAAAGCCGGAUUAAUACCGCAUACGCUCUGUGGAGGAAAGCGGGGGAUCUUUCGGGACCUCGCGCUCAAGGGGCGGCCGAUGGCAGAUUAGGUAGUUGGUGGGGUAAAGGCCUACCAAGCCGACGAUCUGUAGCUGGUCUGAGAGGACGACCAGCCACACUGGGACUGAGACACGGCCCAGACUCCUACGGGAGGCAGCAGUGGGGAAUUUUGGACAAUGGGCGCAAGCCUGAUCCAGCAAUGCCGCGUGUGUGAAGAAGGCCUUCGGGUUGUAAAGCACUUUUGUCCGGAAAGAAAACCUCUGGGUUAAUACCCUGGGNGGGAUGACGGUACCGGAAGAAUAAGCACCGGCUAACUACGUGCCAGCAGCCGCGGUAAUACGUAGGGUGCGAGCGUUAAUCGGAAUUACUGGGCGUAAAGCGUGCGCAGGCGGUGAUGUAAGACCGAUGUGAAAUCCCCGGGCUUAACCUGGGAACUGCAUUGGUGACUGCAUCGCUCGAGUAUGGCAGAGGGGGGUAGAAUCCACGUGUAGCAGUGAAAUGCGUAGAGAUGUGGAGGAAUACCGAUGGCGAAGGCAGCCCCCCUGGGUCAUACUGACGCUCAUGCA
rnacentral:rRNA from 1 species